CUUUACAGGUGCCUGGGUCUUUGGAUUCAUCUGUAUGUUGUUUUGACAUGGAAGACAUGGAUUCCUGAUGAUAAAAUUUUUUUAGGAGUUUAUCAACUUCAAGUUUAAGGUUCAGGAAUUAACAUAUCCUCCUAUAUCCUUGUCAAGUGAAGGACUGUUGCAGAGUUUGUGAUGUCAUCUUUGUCAGCUGCACUGCAAUUCAUGAUGGCCACUUGGCAGGAAGAUUGCAGGUUAUAAUCUUGUGCUGAAUUCCAUGUAAUAUCUAUCCCCUCCCAAACAAAUUCCAGAGCUUAUACAUUAUAUAUGAUGUUAAA